UAUACCCUCUUCCAUAAGCAAAAGGUACAGAAGUGUGAAAGCGCAUACCUCCAUAUUUAGGGACGGUUUCUUCCCGGCUGUUACCCCCAGGCAACUGAUCCAUCCAUCCUACCAACAACUAGAGAGUGGUUCUGAGCUACAAUCUAGCUCACUGGAGAUGAUCGGCCUAUCUUUAAUCGGACUUUGCUGGUCUUUAUCUUGCACUAAACGUUAUUCCCGUUAUCAUGUAUCUGUACACUGUGGACAGCUCGACUGUAAUCAUGUAUAGUCUUUCCGCCGACUGGUUAGCAUGCAAUAAAAAGCUUUUCAUUGUACCUCGGUACACGUGGCAAUAAACUAAACUGGUGUUGGCAGUCUGGGGCGAGGAGUGCAGUCAGUCAGCACUGAGGUAGGUGCGAGGCUCGGAGAUGUACCACAAAUGCCAGCGCAGUACACAUGACCAGCCCUGGGGACUUGGGAACACCUGCCCCGUUUGUUGACAAACCGCCUGCACGCCACAGUCCCUCUUGACGCCUGCUGUACACUUGAAUGGAAGCUGCUACCUCCUGCUGUCCUUGGAGGUGGGCAAACACCAACAUGCUGGUUGUCCCGCGUCCCGUGAGCACCAGGCUAGAGAGAGGGUCUGCACAGUCUGUCGACACCUGAACCAGACUCCACCCCGCAGCUCAGUAGCUGAACAAACACACAGCCCUCCCCCAGCCUGCAGCCUGCCCAACACCCACUCACACCAGCUGUCUCUCCACACCAUCAACGUGCAGAUCAAUACUGGAUGCCUGCCAGCUGCCUGGCGCAGCAAUGCAGUCAGUCAUGCAUGAGGCCACCACAUGGCUUUUGGGCAAUGAUUCCAUCAGCACUCUUGCUCUUGGGAUUGCGUUCUGAAUGUUAAACAAGCACUCGAUGCAGCAGGUACAUAGACGGUGUUCAUCAUAGACACAUGAAGCUGUAUGGCACAGAAACAGGCCCAUGCUGACCCAAUCGCCAAGCUGGGCUAUCCCCAAUUUCCUGCAUUUGGCCCCUAUCCCUCUAAACCAUUCCUAUCCAUAUAACUGUCCAAAUGUCUUUGAAAGCUGUAAUUGAUAAUGGACUACCCUCCAAGUGCAAACAUUGCCCCCGAGAUCCAUCUUAAAUCUCUCCCCUCUCACAAGACUAUGCCCCUUAGUUACAAGUUUGAAUCCUCCUCUGCCUUGGGUAAGAGACUGUGUGUUCACUUUAUCCAUGCCCCUCAAGAAGGUCACCCCUCAGCCUCCUGUUAGGCUCGUGAUUCCAGCAUCUGCAGUUCCUUGUAACUCCUUAAAGGUGCACAUCAAAAAUAAUCUUGAUGGAGGCAGUCAACAUAAUCACAGUGUGUGUGCACGUCCCUGUCUCUCUCUCCCCCUCGCUCCAUCUCCACCUCCCUCCAUCUGUGUAUAGAGGAGAAUUCUAGGAAUUAAAUUGUAACUGAGGGGCAAGAUGAACAUAUCUAUGAUAAAGGAAUCAGUGGUGGAUUCUUCAAUAACGGGUUUGCAGGCCUUCAUUCUUCAUCUGAAGAAGAAUGCCGGCCCGAGACGUCAACCAUCAAUGUUCUCCAGAGAUGUUCCCUGACCCGCUGAGUUCCUCCAGCACUUUGCGUCCUACAUUAUUCUUCCUGGUUAUGCAUUUCACGAUUCGAAAUAUCCCUACAUCCAGUCAUGUCCCAAAUAACCGAGUAAAAUCUCAAGAAGCCUCAGGACACUUUAGACAAAUCUAACUGUCUCACAUACUUUUCUUUCCCUCAAAAGCAAAAAGCCAGCACUGAAUUCAAUUAAUAUUUUAUAACUGGCAAACAAUGCACAAGUGAUAUUGUAUGUGACAGCAGAAUAUAAUAACCGCACUGGCGUGCAGCCCAUUCCCACUCGCGCCUUGUGUCCGUGUGGGCAGCCCAGAUCAUUAAUCACAUCCUGUGGCUGCAACUAAAUUUGGAUAUUUUCAGCUGAGCGAGGAAAGUGAAAGCAAUUUUUAAGCUUCAAAAACAUCUGAUGCUGCCCAUCCUAAUGUGUGCUUCAGACAAAAUGUGUGUAGGAUCUGCAGAUUCUCGUUUUAAUCAAAGAAAGACACAGAAAGCUGGAGGAACUCAUCAGGUCAGGCACCAUCUCUGGAGGAAAGGAACAGGUGACGUUUUGGCCCGAGACCCUUCUUCAGACUCAGGGGAAAGGGAAAUUAGUUUCACUGUUAUCCUGUUGAGUUUCAGUGCCUUUUUAACUCGUUAUCACCUAUCCCACAGCCAAUAAAGUACCAUUGUGAGCUC